rnacentral:rRNA from 1 species
AGAGUUUGAUCCUGGCUCAGAACGAACGCUGGCGGCAGGCCUAACACAUGCAAGUCGAGCGAGAUCUUCGGGUCUAGCGGCGGACGGGUGAGUAACGCGUGGGAAUAUGCCCUUCUCUACGGAAUAGCCCUGGGAAACUGGGAGUAAUACCGUAUACGCCCUACGGGGGAAAGAUUUAUCGGAGAAGGAUUAGCCCGCGUUGGAUUAGGUAGUUGGUGGGGUAAUGGCCUACCAAGCCUACGAUCCAUAGCUGGUUUGAGAGGAUGAUCAGCCACACUGGGACUGAGACACGGCCCAGACUCCUACGGGAGGCAGCAGUGGGGAAUCUUAGACAAUGGGGGCAACCCUGAUCUAGCCAUGCCGCGUGAGUGAUGAAGGCCUUAGGGUUGUAAAGCUCUUUCAGCUGGGAAGAUAAUGACGGUACCAGCAGAAGAAGCCCCGGCUAACUCCGUGCCAGCAGCCGCGGUAAUACGGAGGGGGCUAGCGUUGUUCGGAAUUACUGGGCGUAAAGCGCACGUAGGCGGACUGAAAAGUUGGAGGUGAAAUCCCAGGGCUCAACCUUGGAACUGCCUUCAAAACUAUCAGUCUGGAGUUCGAGAGAGGUGAGUGGAAUUCCGAGUGUAGAGGUGAAAUGCGUAGAUAUGCGGAGGAACACCGAUGGCGAAGGCAAUCCCCUGGGCCUGUACUGACGCUCAUGCACGAAAGCGUGGG